rnacentral:snRNA from 1 species
GGAUGUGAGGGUGAUCUGGCUGUGACAUCUGUCACCCCAUUCAUUGCCAGGGUUGAUUCAGCUGAUCUGGCUGGCUAGGCGGGUGUCCCCUUCCUCCCUCACCGCUCCAUGUGUGUCCCUCCUGAAGCUGCGCACUCGGUUGAAGAGGACGACCACCCCCGAUAGAGGAGGACAGUUUCCUCAGUCAAGGAUAGCUGCACCCCCCUGCUAGAACCUCCAAACAAGCUCUCAAGUGAGGAGAAAGAUUUGGGGGGGGGGCAUUAAUGGCUUUAUUUCUUUUACUGUUAAUAAAAUUUUUUAAGUUAAA